AAAGGAAUAGACGGGGACCCGCACAAGCAGCGGAGCAUGUGGUUUAAUUCGAAGCAACGCGAAGAACCUUACCAGGACUUGACAUACUAGUGACCGGUGUAGAGAUACACCUUCUCUUCGGAGCGCUAAUACAGGUGGUGCAUGGUUGUCGUCAGCUCGUGUCGUGAGAUGUUCGGUUAAGUCCGGCAACGAGCGCAACCCUCGUGGCUAGUUACUAACAUUAAGUUGAGGACUCUAGCAAGACUGCCGAUAAUAAAUCGGAGGAAGGUGAGGAUGACGUCAAAUCAUCAUGCCCCUUAUGUCCUGGGCUACACACGUGCUACAAUGGUCAAUAACAAAGGGCAGCAACACAGCGAUGUGAAGCGAAUCUCAUAAAAUUGAUCUCAGUUCGGAUUGCACUCUGCAACUCGAGUGCAUGAAGCAGGAGUUGCUAGUAAUCGCGGAUCAGAAUGCCGCGGUGAAUGCGUUCCCGGGUCUUGUACACACCGCCCGU
rnacentral:rRNA from 1 species